AUCCAGUUGAUGAAUCUCAAAUAGGUCGAAACCCACGUCCUGGAU
rnacentral:hammerhead_ribozyme from 1 species